GCUAAGGCUGUGGCUCUGUGGUAGAGUGCUUGCCUAGCAUGUGUGAGGCACUGGGUUCAAUUCUCAGUUUGGCA
rnacentral:tRNA from 1 species